rnacentral:rRNA from 1 species
GAAUUUUGGACAAUGGGCGAAAGCCUGAUCCAGCAAUGCCGCGUGCAGGAUGAAGGCCUUCGGGUUGUAAACUGCUUUUGUACGGAACGAAAAGCUUUGGGUUAAUACCCUGGAGUCAUGACGGUACCGUAAGAAUAAGCACCGGCUAACUACGUGGCCGCAGCCGCGGUAAUACGUAGGGUGCAAGCUUUAAUCGGAAUUACUGGGCGUAAAGCGUGCGCAGGCGGUUUUGUAAGACAGAGGUGAAAUCCCCGGGCUCAACCUGGGAACUGCUUUCAAAUCUGGCAAGCUAGAGUAUGGCAGAGGGUGGUGGAAUUUCCUGUGUAGCGGUGAAAUGCGUAGAUAUAGGAAGGAACACCGAUGGCGAAGGCAACCCCCUGGGCCUGUACUGACGCUCAUGCACGAAAGCGUGGGGAGCAAACAGG